UAUGUGAUCGUCUCUCGCAUAUCAAUAAGCGGAGGAAAAGAAACUAACAAGGAUUCCCCUAGUAACGGCGAGUGAAGCGGGAAGAGCUCAAAUUUGAAAUCUUAAAGGGUUUCCCUUUACGAAUUGUAGUUUAAAGAAGUGUUUUCUGUUGAGGUUUUGGUAAAAGUUCUUUGGAAUAGGACAUCAUAGAGGGUGAGAAUCCCGUAUUUGACCUUUACUUUCAACUUUGUGAUACACUUUCAAAGAGUCGGAUUGUUUGGGAAUGCAGUCCAAAAUGGGUGGUAAAUUUCAUCUAAAGCUAAAUAUUGGCGAGAGACCGAUAGCGAACAAGUACCGUGAGGGAAAGAUGAAAAGAACUUUGAAAAGAGAGUUAAACAGUACGUGAAAUUGUCAAAAGGGAAGCGUUUGACACCAGUGUUGUUUUUCUGAAAAUCAAUUAAAGAACUGUUUAUGCUAAGUUGUUUAGACUUUAUCAGCUAGCUGUUUAGUUUUGAGCUUUUCUUUAAUGCACUUUUCAGUUAACAAGUCAACAUCAAUUUCUUUUGCUGUAAAAAAGCUUGAGGAAGGUGGCUUGAGAUUCGUCUUAAGUGUUUAUAGCCUCUUGCCUAUGCAGUCGGAGAGAUUGAGGUCUGCAGCGUAGAUCCUUCGGGGCUAAAUGCAUUUGUGCUAAGUUAUAGCAUUUUAUAGACAACUUGUUGACUAUGAUUUGUCUUGUAGCUUACUCGCUUAUGUUAUUUUACCUACGCUUAGGAUGUUGAAGACUCUACAGAGAUA
rnacentral:rRNA from 1 species